AAGCCUGAUCCAGCCAUGCCGCGUGCAGGAUGAAGGCCUUCGGGUUGUAAACUGCUUUUGUACGGAACGAAAAGGUCCUGGCUAAUACCCGGGGCUGAUGACGGUACCGUAAGAAUAAGCACCGGCUAACUACGUGCCAGCAGCCGCGGUAAUACGUAGGGUGCAAGCGUUAAUCGGAAUUACUGGGCGUAAAGCGUGCGCAGGCGGUGGUGUAAGACAGAUGUGAAAUCCCCGGGCUCAACCUGGGAACUGCAUUUGUGACUGCAUUGCUGGAGUGCGGCAGAGGGGGAUGGAAUUCCGCGUGUAGCAGUGAAAUGCGUAGAUAUGCGGAGGAACACCGAUGGCGAAGGCAAUCCCCUGGGCCUGCACUGACGCUCAUGCACGAAAGCGUGGGGAGCAAACAGGAUUAGAUACCCUGGUAGUCCGCGCCCUAAACGAUGUCAACUGGUUGUUGGGCCUUCACUGACUCAGUAACUAAGCUAACGC
rnacentral:rRNA from 1 species